rnacentral:rRNA from 1 species
AUACGGAGGAUGCGAGCGUUAUCCGGAUUUAUUGGGUUUAAAGGGAGCGUAGGCGGGAGCUAAAGUCAGCGGUUAAAUGGUGCGGCUCAACCGUGCCCUGCCGUUGAAACUGGGUUUCUUGAGAGUGCAAGAGGCGGAUGGAAUUCAUGGUGUAGCGGUGAAAUGCUUAGAUAUCAUGAAGAACUCCGAUUGCGAAGGCAGUCCGCUGGGGCACGUCUGACGCUGAUGCUCGAAGGUGCGGGAAUCAAACAGGAUUAGAUACCCUGGUAGUCCGCACGGUAAACGAUGAUUACCCGCUGUCGGCGGCAGACAGUCGGCGGCCAAGCGAAAGCGAUAAGUAAUCCACCUGGGGAGUACGCCGGCAACGGUGAAACUCAAAGGAAUUGGCGGGG